rfam:Pyrenochaeta sp. DS3sAY3a unplaced genomic scaffold IQ07scaffold_13, whole genome shotgun sequence.
GUCUCGGUGGCGCAAUGGUAGCGCGUUGGACUUCUAUGAUGCGCACGGCGUCAUCCAAAGGCUGCGGGUUCGAGCCCCGCCCGAGAUG